CAGCCAUUAUAUAAAAGAAUUCAGAUUACCAACGGUGAUAUCAAAGCCUUCACAGAUCUAAUGAUGAAAUAUUGCUUUGUGUUUAGGAAGAUUAAUGACUUACUGCAAUGCAGGUUUCUCCUAAAAGACAACGGGUAAUGGCUUCGGUAUUGUUUUCAUCCAUUAAUCGUUCCUUCUGAAUAUCGAGAGUGUUGAAAACACCAGUUUCCUGGCACUUGAAUUGUACGGUAUAAAACUCAGCAUUAUAUACCUGCUGUUCAUUGUUCAUCAUCUCCUUGGUGUUCUUUGAUAGAAACUCAAAAAUGAACUCUACAAAGAUCUCUGCUUUUCUCGUGCUGUCGAUUACUCUAACUUUAGUGCUUCAAAGCGAAGCGUUUGUACCACUGGCGGGGACGCGAGCUGGAAAAAGAGAUGACUUCGGCUGCAAAAAGCAACUGGCCGUCAUCAAGAGUUUCUGUGACGCGGUCUUACCAUGUCAAUCAGGAGCAAGUAAGCGCACAGACGACUUCUCCUUCCAAAAGACUGGUGACUAAUAGAAUCAAUGACGUAUAUAAUGAAGACACUGAUGCCUGAUGGUCAAUGAGGACUACAUAAAUCUGUUAAAUAAUUUUUAAGACUGUGUCAUAAUGCUUGUCUAGUAAAGUGUGAGCAUGCUAUCGGUCAUGGUAAUAAACAAAUACAGAUUAACAAUAA